UCCAAUCUGCUAGGAGUUACUGUUUAAUGGGAACAGGUUCUGUCUUGAAGAUGAUGAAAAAGUUCUGGAAUGGAGAGUGAUGAUGGUUACACAGGACUGCCAGUGUACUUAAUGUCACUGAUUUGUAGACUUUGAAAUU